rnacentral:tRNA from 1 species
GUUGAGGUGGCUCAGUCAGUUGAGCGUCUGACUUCGGCUCAGGUCACGGGCCUUAACG